UGUAUGGUGGUGCAGUUGGUAGCACUGUUGCCUUUCAGCAAGAAGGUCCUGGGUUUGACUCCCAUCCAGGGAUCAU